GUUAUUUAAUCAUCGUCCCCACCUGCCUCUUGUUUCCCUUCCCUCUGGUUUGAUUGUUCUUUGAGUUCACCUGUGUCUUGUUACCCCUGUCUAUUUAAGUUCUUUGUCCCCUUGAUUCAGGUGCUGGUUCCUUGUGUUUGUUCCUGACUUGUGUUUGUUUCUGACUUAUAUCAACAUGGCAACGGACCUGAGAUGAAUGUGGGCUACAGGGCCAAUAACGAGAGCUUAGCAGGCAAUGUUCAAACCAAACCCAAACCCUGCUGCCCGUCUCCUGUAAGAAACCCAAAAUCUACCCAUGCUGCCAAACAUAGGAAUGAUGAUGGUGACAACAUUUAUGGAAACAUGUAGCUGGUGGCUCUACACAACAAAGUGAAAUGAUGGGAGAAGGAAGCUGUUUUUCUGGAGCACCCCCACACUUUAAAUUACUGUGUCCUGCUAUUUGCCAAACCUGAAGUGUUAACUAUCCUUCUCCUUAUAUAACUUGCAUUGCUGAUGUUAACAAUUAUACAGAUGACUACAGUCUGUACUGGACUUUGUUUUAAGUUUUAAAAAGACUUUGUUUUGCGCACAAACAUUUUAUGUAUGUGUGUAAUGAAAAUCAGACUGCACAAACUGAAGAGUGAAUUUAAUGAAGUUUGUACGUAUUAAUACAUGAUCUGCAAAUAUAAUUCCGGAAGAAUUCACCCCAAAAUACAGUGUAUGAUGCUCUUCAAUCACUUUGUCUUGUAGGGAAAGUAAUUAGGGGAGUUCAGAAUAUAGAGAGCUGGGUGUCUUGCUGGUCUGUCUUCUCCAAAGCCAAGUCCCCUCUUCCCAAGGCUUCUGAUGGUUCUUUUUAUUUUUUCAAUAAACAUGUAAUGUGUUAUUUGUCAAAUGAAGUUGGAUUUAUCUUCUGUUAGGACUUUGUGAGGACUAUGUUGGUUAUGUCCUAAUAUGUAAAACUAAAUAAAUAAAAUAGAAUUGAAA